rnacentral:lncRNA from 1 species
CUGCUCCAUGCGUAACGGCCAUUAAUUCUCCUCUGAUACGCAUGAUUCUCCUCUGAUACGCAUGCGGAAGGACCUACCAGCGGGGCAUCUUGGUCAUUUUCCCCUUUCCGGGCUGGGUUGAAUGGUAGGGCUGAAGUUGAGCCUGGUGAGGGCCUGAUUACUGGGCCGAGAGGUUUGCGCCGGCUUGAUUGAGGAGUCUAGGCGGAGUCCGGCCCUGUGACUGAGCGGGCUGGACCUGGCUCUCGAGGGGAAUAUUGAAGCAUUCGGAUCAUGGACCGUUUUCAUGGGCCUGGCCUUUAGACCGGGGUGAAGAAAUCCAGCGAUCAUCAAUUGCCCCUUUAUCUCCUCAGCAGUUAUUCCAUGACUGGUGAGGGGAUAAAUCUUUAAACUCUAUUCAUGACCGUGUGGUCUGAGAACUGCUCCUGUCGAAAGUAUCCCUUUCUUGCCUUUUUAUUAUUUUUGCCUGAGCGUUGGACUCUUGUGUAUGUUUUUUGCCCCUGAGUAUUUAUGGGUUGUCUUCUCUCGAGCGUUUUGCGGGCUCUUUGUUGCCUGGACCUUUCUCUAGGCCAGCUGAGUUGGUUUAGUGUGAGCGGUCAAUUCCCGAGGUCGAUGCCUCUUAUGAUUGCCCCUGAUUCUCUGUUUGGCUUUGUAUUUUGGUAUGCAGUUUGCUUAGGAAUCGCCUUGCCUCAAUUCAGUCUGCCUAUUGGGUUUACCAGUACUGCGCUCGUUUUCUUGAGAUCGGCAUGAUGCUUUGGUACUUUUGGCUGUUGUGUGAGAUCCAAGUCUCUCUACCUGAAGACUCUAGUUCCUUUGGGAGAUCGGAGUUUAACUUUUCAUUUAUGGUCCCGUGCCCCAAUCUUUUAUGUGAGAUCGGAACUACGUUCUUAUGAGUUGUUUUUGCUUGUAGCACCGGAUGAUCUUGGGGAUUCCGGCCAUUUUCGCUUCCGGAGAUCUUUGAGAUCUUCGCCGGUAUUCUACCUCAGUGAGGUCUUCUACCUCUCAAUGAGGUCUUCUGCAUCAGUGAGGUCUUCUGCCUCAUUGAGGUCUUCUACCUCUCAGUGAGGUCUUCUGCCUCAUUGAGGUCUUCUGCCUCAUUGAGGUCUUCUGCCUCAUUGAGGUCUUCUGCCUCAUUGAGGUCUUCUGCCUCAGUGAAGUCUUCUUUUGCUAGGACCUCAGUGAGGUCUUCUUUUGCUAGGACCUCAGUGAGGUCUUCUUUUGUCAAGACCUUAUUGAGGUCUUCCUUUGUCAAGACUUUAUUGAGGUCUUCUCUUGUCAAGACCUCAUUGAGGUCUUCUCUUGUCAAGACCUUAUUGAGGUCUUCCUUUGCUAGGACCUCAGUGAGGUCUUCUUUUGUCAAGACCUUAUUGAGGUCUUCCUUUGUCAAGACCUCAUUGAGGUCUUCUCUUGUCAAGACCUUAUUGAGGUCUUCCUUUGCUAAGACCUCAGUGAGGUCUUCUUUUGUCAAGACCUUAUUGAGGUCUUCCUUUGUCAAGACCUCAUUGAGGUCUUCUCUUGUCAAGACCUUAUUGAGGUCUUCCUUUGCUAGGACCUCAGUGAGGUCUUCUUUUGUCAAGACCUUAUUGAGGUCUUCUCUUGUCAAGACCUCAUUGAGGUCUUCUCUUGNN